UUACGGCCAUAUCAUGUUGAAUGGCCGACUCCCGUACAAUCACCAAAGUUAAGCAACGUCGAGCAUGGUCAGUACCUAGAUGAGUGACCACUUGGGAAUAUG